rnacentral:rRNA from 1 species
UUGACCUCAAAUCAGGAGUC